GGGUGUGUAGCUCAAGUGGCAGAGCACAUGCUUAGCAUGCAGGAGGCCCUGGAUUCAGUCCCCAGUACCUCCA
rnacentral:tRNA from 1 species